rnacentral:lncRNA from 1 species
AGUUAUUAUUGGUAUGAAGUGUACUCAAUGCAGGGUUUAAGUCUUUCUUUAUUCAUAAAACCUUUUGGUAAAGUUUCAUGAAGAUUUAUUGGAUAUUUUGUACAUUUUAUGCAGUAAAAAUAUCAACUUGGAGCCACCAGUCUUCUUCAAGUAUGAUGCAAUUUAUGACUUCUAUUAUAACCUGUCCCUGAAACUUCUUGUCAAUGUUACCCGCUGCCAGAGGAAUGGAAGCCCACAAGGAGUCAAAAUUGGAAUGUGCACGUUUAUUGGACUCUCUCUCAAAGAGAUACCCCUCACAAGGCGCUCAGAUCAUAGUAGCUAUAUCCCAUUUCCUUUGCUGGAAACCAUAUGACCUUCCAGCAGCUACCAGGUCCAUCCAGGGCUUGAAUGCAUACCUCAGAUCAUCCAGGUAAACGUCCUUGGUGAUGUUUUGUGAAAUAGCAAAGAAAUGCUGUUUCAUAACAUCACCUUCCCUGAAAAAACAAGGAGAAGGAACUAAACCGUGGCUGACUACUUGGUCCUAAGUAUGAUUGGAACAUUUUAUUUGUACCUGGCAUUCCUCCUGUUGACCUUGGCAUCCACAUAAAAAAAAUUCUAGUUGGAGAAGAAGCCUAAUAAUGCCAGCUGCUCCAUGGUUAAGAGAUAUUAGGAGCUUCAGACUUCGCCAGCUCUAUUGACCUUCAUAGACUUCGACAUUAUCUGCCUGACCGUCAGAAUGUAGCUCUUUCCCCUUAGGUCGCAUUAAAAGUUUUCCCUGAUAGCCAAUUUCAUCCUGCCAGCCAGGUCACUUAUAGAUAUGCUGGGUGGUCGUCGAUCAUGUUCUACAGGACCUUCAGGAAGUUUGGAGUCCGUUUUUUUGUUCUGAGAACGAUCAUAAGUCUUCCCUCAGGUGAUUUAGACCCAUCUGACUCUUUGAAAGUCCUGAUUAAAUUGUAAACAGUUUACUUGGACAGCCUUGUAAAAUCAAGAAUAUCUUUGGGCGUGUGCCUGGCGUGGAGGAACACGUAUUCGUAUUCAGAAGACAUCUCAAGGAUUUUGUGGGGAAAAACAACAACAACAAUAUAAUGCAAUUUUGUCACCUGAAUCUGAUGAGCACAUUUUCAUAAAUAUAGAUCUCAGGGUUCCCAAGUCAUUCCAGUCUAAACUUGUUCUGGAUUUAAAAUUCACACCCUGUACAUACAUUAAAGAAAUACUAUUUACUUUGAAAGUAUUUUAUGGGAUAUAAAUGCAGGAAUAAAUUUAAUAUCAACGACAACAAUGGUAGUAAAUAUUCUUUGUACAUAUAAAUAUAAGUGACCAAAAGAUGCCUUUCUUUUGAAAUACAUGACCAUUAGCCAUUUAUCAAAAAAUGACAUGUAUAUAUAUUGAAAUAAUAAUAUAUCAUUGAAUUCA